GAGUGCGCUUUGCUUUCCCUGGGUCUGGGGCUGAUUCCUCCUCUCUUACCCAUAAACUCAGCUCCUCGAGCGAAAUACACAAAAGGGAGCAAGAGGUUUGAACCAUUGGGGAAAAAAUCUGUUAUAUAUAGUAGGUUUAGAGAGGCGAGUAAGAGAAAAAAAAUAAUAAACACCACAGUUCUUUCCAGCUAGAAUAUUAGGCACCACGAGAAAAAUACUUGCCAAGCCGUUUUCGAAUCAGUGUUUACAUCAAAAGAAAUUGACCAGAAUAGAAGGAGCCCCAUUAGAAGGAGGAUUAUUGAUGGAGGAUUAUUGAAAAUACUCUAAAGAUAGACACUUAAUUUUAGAUCUGCCUGGAAUGCGUUAUGGGACACUGAGCAAAGCCACUUGUGAGGACUCCGUUCCCUCAACAACCGUGUGAAGGAUAACCCCGAGGAUGUGCAGGCUGCCUGUAUGCUCCAAAUUCUAUACCUUUACAUCUAAAUACAUAAUUACUUAACUUUUCCGUGGGGGAGAUGGAAAGGAGCUGCGUCUAUGUGUGCCUGAGCUGAGGGAAGGGGUUAAAAUGUAAACUUCUAGGUAAAGAAGGCUGUCCCAGAAUCCUCACCUCCAUCAAUUUUUAACCAGUUGUAGACCAAAGUCUAGGAUUCUGCUGCAUGGGUCCAAAAAGCAAUUGAAGAUUUUAAAUGUUAAGAGUUGUAGGAGACAGGUUCUAAGACCUUGUACUUUUGCUCUCCAGCAUUUAUAAUCAGACUAGACAGUUCCUGAGUGUCUUUCCUGCCCUAUAGUUUUGUUUUGUUUUGUUUUUUUCCUUCUAUUUGUUUUUGGAAACCAUCCCGGUCAAUGGUAGGGAGGAGAUGACAUUUGUACACUGGGUAAUUUUUAAGCUACUGGGAUGCAUGUAGAUGUGAAAACUAUGUCAUAACAUUCACAAACACAUGCGCUGCGCACACACACACAAGAAAGAUAAGAAAAUCUUAAGAAAUUCCUGGUAAUAAGCUUAGAGGCAACACAGCCAUCACUACAUUAAAGAUAAUUAUUUCAAGUCAGAGGAAACAACAAAUGAGGAGUUUGCCCUUACCAAAAAAAAAAAAGAGAGAGAGAGAGAAAGUAAGAAAGAAA